CCCUUAGAUGUUCUGGGCUGCACGCGCGCUACACUGAUGCACUCAACGAGUUUACGACCUUGCCCGAUAGGGUUGGGUAAUCUUUUUAAAAUGCAUCGUGAUGGGGAUAGAUUAUUGCAAUUAUUAAUCUUCAACGAGGAAUUCCUAGUAAGCGCGAGUCAUCAGCUCGUGCUGAUUACGUCCCUGCCCUUUGUACACACCGCCCGUCGCUACUACCGAUUGAAUGGUUUAGUGAGACCCUCGGAUUCGUCCCAGCACCGUGGGUUUCUGCUGAGCUGGUGCGCGGAGAAGACGGUCGAACUUGAUCAUUUAGAGGAAGUAAAAGUCGUAACA
rnacentral:rRNA from 1 species